UACGGAGGGAGCUAGCGUUGUUCGGAAUUACUGGGCGUAAAGCGCGCGUAGGCGGCUCGGUCAGUCGGGUGUGAAAUCCCUGGGCUCAACCUGGGAACUGCAUUCGAUACUGCCGAGCUAGAGUGUGGGAGAGGGUAGUGGAAUUCCCGGUGUAGCGGUGAAAUGCGUAGAUAUCGGGAGGAACAUCAGUGGCGAAGGCGACUGCCUGGCCCAACACUGACGCUGAGGUGCGAAAGCGUGGGUAGCAAACAGG
rnacentral:rRNA from 1 species